CCUACGGGAGGCAGCAGUGGGGAAUUUUGGACAAUGGGGGCAACCCUGAUCCAGCCAUUCCGCGUGAGUGAAGAAGGCCUUCGGGUUGUAAAGCUCUUUCGCAAGGGAAGAAAACUUAUGAUCGAAUAAAUCAUGAGGUUGACGGUACCUUGAUAAGAAGCACCGGCUAACUACGUGCCAGCAGCCGCGGUAAUACGUAGGGUGCGAGCGUUAAUCGGAAUUACUGGGCGUAAAGCGUGCGCAGGCGGUUUUGUAAGUCGGAUGUGAAAUCCCCGGGCUCAACCUGGGAACUGCGUUCGAAACUGCAAGGCUAGAGUGUGUCAGAGGGGGGUAGAAUUCCACGUGUAGCAGUGAAAUGCGUAGAGAUGUGGAGGAAUACCAAUGGCGAAGGCAGCCCCCUGGGAUAACACUGACGCUCACGCACGAAAGCGUGGGGAGCAAACAGGAUUAGAUACCCUGGUAGUCCACGCCCUAAACGAUGUCAACUAGUUGUUGGUAGAGUAAAAUCUAUGAGUAACGUAGCUAACGCGUGAAGUUGACCGCCUGGGGAGUACGGUCGCAAGNUUAAAACUCAAAGGAAUUGACCGGNUGAGACGNGCGAGACGACGACGAGGGAGAGG
rnacentral:rRNA from 1 species